CACAGAUGGCCUCCACCACACUGAACUUGAACAAGAUAAGCAAGGUCCUCUAGCAAGAGGAGGAAGUUAGGGUUACCCCUGACCAAAGAUGGGAAGAAAGGGGCUUCUGUCUGUAGCGGCCCGGCCCUCACUGCACACAGUAGGCGCUCAGCACGGCAUUCCCGUGGGACCGUGGACGUUCGCUGCCCUCUCAGAACCGCCGGACGCCACCAGCACUCAGAACCCCGCGUCAGGUUCUGGCCUCCCAACGCCUCCGUACCUGGCCUCCGUGCCCCGGUGAGCUCAUCAGCAGAUUGGCUCCAUGAUUUGGGGGGACCACAAUGCAAAAUUAAAUGAGAGGCCCCUUGGUCAAAAAUGACCGAGGGACAAUGUAGGAAACAAGCCCCAGUCCUGCCCACUGAGGACGAACUGCAAGAGCGUGAAAGUGACACGUCCGUGGGUAAACUGAGGCAGGGGACAUCAGUCACAGAGGAGAGAAGAUAAGGCUCAAAUCUGGAGUGGAAGGAGGUGAGGGACAAGACACAGCAGGAGCAGAAAGACCAUCAGGUGUGCAAAACCAAAGCAGUGACCUAAAUCUGAGCAGUGACCAGCUCAAAUCAGAGCUGGCCUCAGGUUGCCUGGGGGACCCCUAGGGCUUCAGAGGGGUGCAACUGGGUCUCAGGACUUAGGCGAUGCAGUCUAGCCAGGCCUCUCAGGCUCUUCCCUCCUAAUGACACCUGUUGCAAGAGGGUAACAUCAAGCCUCCCACAGUCUAUCUCCAGGGAGCCACCACCACCUCCCCCAGCACAAUGGGCCAGACCAGGCUGCAUCUAGGAACAUGGAUAUCUGGACCCAGGUCUCAGAGAACUGGUAUGCAUUGACAUGGAGACCAGCUAUUUGCCCAGGAGUCAGGGUACGCUCUGUCUGUCCCACCCAAGGGAAGCAUCUGCCCCAUCCCUAUAAACCUUCACU
rnacentral:lncRNA from 1 species